rnacentral:lncRNA from 1 species
AGUUUCAGCGUUAGCCUUAAUACUUCCACUCACGUAUACGGUGGAUAUUUGAUAAGCCCUUCCGUAUAAGGGUGGGAAUCUAGCUCGUUGUUCGCGAGCCAGCUCGUGUUCGGCUCGAAAUGAGCUCAAGAUCGAAUCGCUCGUAUAAUAAACAAGUCGAGCAUAAGCUGAAAUUUUCAGCUCGUUUAGUAAACGAGCCGAAUACAAGCUAGGGUCGGCUGGCUCGUGUUCGGCUCAAAUACAUAUGUUUUAUAUUUAUAUAAUUUAUAUUUAUAUAUAUUUAUAUAUAAUAUAUAUAUUUUUAUUAUUUCAUUUUUAGUAAAAAAAAAAUAUAAAGCCGAGCUCAAUUAUAAAAAUACUCAUUUAUAUGUAAAAUUUCAACCAUUAGACCAAAAUUUAAUCGGUAAGAUUUUAUAAAUUUAAUUUUUAUAUAUAUCCAAUCUAAUUCAUUUAACUUAUUAUUCAAUGACGAGCUCGUGCUCGGCUCGUUAAUAAACGAGCCGAACAUGAGCUGAAUUUUUGGGCUCAAUAAUUUAACAAGCCAGAUAUACUGAGAUCUCCAAAAACUUAAACUUGAUGCCUUAAUAAACAAGAUGCACGAAAAAUUAAAAAAAUCAAACGAUAAA